AGUGUCGGCGGUUUGUUGUGUGAUGAUACUGCUCACAUUCUUGAUAAAUUUGACCAGUGAGCAGCAACACUUGAAACUUCUCCACACGUGUUUGACACAUGAUUGGUAUGUAACAGGAGGGAAACUCUCAGGCAUGGUGAUGGUGGUGAUUUGGGAGUGUUCCAGGCUGCAUUUAAUGACCAAACGACGACGAAGAACAUCAGUGUUGUUGAGCUGCAAAACAGGGAUGGCGAUGGGAACUAAUGGACCAGGAUCUGUUCAGGGGCUCCACAACUUACAUGGUAGUUUCAAUGUCGCUGGCACACUUGGAUCCCAAAAUCCAACAACCGCUAAUGUACCUUCAAGUGGGCUUCAACAACAAAGCGGAAACCUUUCUGCUGGAAGAUUUACAUCAAACAAUAUGCCUGCUGCUCUUUCUCAGAUAGCUCAUGGCAAUUCACUCAGUCAUUCAGGGCUAAAUAGUAGAGGUAGCUUGAUUGUUGUUGGAACCCCUGGGUUCAGUAGUGGUGCAAAUGCAUUUAGUGGCUCGAUUCCUGGAGUCCUGCCUACCACUGCACCAAUCAGUAACCGUAAUUCUAUUCCGGGAGUCGGAGUCCCACCGGUUAUAGGAAAUCGGAGCUCUCGGAUCACCAGUUAAGCUGGAAACAUUGGCAGUGGUGGUAGCAUUGGAAGAAGCUCAAGUUCUGGUGGCGGUUUAUCAUUCCCGGGUGCCUUGCUUCUCGACUUAACCUAAACACUAAUAGUGGCUCAGGAAAUUUCAGUGUGCAGGGAUCAAAUAGAAUAAUUGGUGCUUCUCCACAGGUGAUGUCUAUGUUUGGAAACUCAUACCAUUAAGGUGGACCACUUUCUCAAAAUCAUGUUCAAAACUCCAUGGAAAUUUUGAAAUCAUCUACUGUUGCUCCAAAGAACGCAAAAGGGUUAAAAUGGACAAACCACAGGGAGCAAAAACGAAGUUAACUCAAUUUUUUAACUAUGGGUCAAAUGACUAUAAUGCCCCUUGACAAGGACAACUGAAUGAAACUUGAGCUGCAUUCAACUUGCUGUGUGGAGAUAGGGACCACAUGAUUAUGGAAAAAAUUGAGAGGCAUUUUAACCAUAGUGUUACCGAGGUGCCAUCAUGAACAAGUGAUGAAGCCUUUAAGGAUGUUGUGAGGAAAGCUGGUUUGAUGUAGAAUUUCUCAUAUUUCUCAUUAUCAUAUACACAAGUUAAUAUUGGUUGGUUAUUUUUGUAUUGGGUAGUGAAUUUUGGUUGGUUGAUUGGAAAAUCAGUUUUGUUUGUGAUGACUUGGAUGCUCAAGUGGUAGUA